rnacentral:rRNA from 1 species
AUGGGCGAAAGCCUGAUGCAGCCAUGCCGCGUGAAUGAUGAAGGCCUUAGGGUUGUAAAAUUCUUUCGCUAGGGAUGAUAAUGACAGUACCUAGUAAAGAAGCCCCGGCUAACUUCGUGCCAGCAGCCGCGGUAAUACGAAGGGGGCUAGCGUUGUUCGGAAUUACUGGGCGUAAAGCGCACGUAGGCGGACUUUUAAGUCAGAUGUGAAAUCCCGGGGCUCAACCUCGGAACUGCAUUUGAAACUGGAAGUCUAGAGACCAGGAGAGGUUAGCGGAAUACCGAGUGUAGAGGUGAAAUUCGUAGAUAUUCGGUGGAACACCAGUGGCGAAGGCGGCUAACUGGACUGGUACUGACGCUGAGGUGCGAAAGUGUGGGGAGCAAACAGGAUUAGAUACCCUGGUAGUCCACACCGUAAACGAUGAGAGCUAGUUGUUGGCA